GUCUGUACCCAAAACCAUUUUAGCUAACCUGUUAAAGGAGGCGGAUGUCUAAGGUAUGGGGAGUGAUUGGGGUGAAGUCGUAACAAGGUAGCUGUAGGUGAACCUGCAGAAGGAUCA
rnacentral:rRNA from 1 species